AAAUGGAAUAAGAGAUUUGCAGGCUGGAACACCACUUGGUUUAAUGGCUUAUUUAUAUUCUAGAAAUGCAUUUUUGGAAGGUUACGUACAGCAGUUUCUCUACACUUUUCGUUAUUUCUGCACACAAGAAGAGUUUUUGCAGUCUCUUCUUGAAAGAAUCAGCAGCACUUUAUCCAGUGCAAGUCUGGACCCUUCCACAUCAUUUACCAAAAUAUGUAACCGCAGUUUCUACAUCCUGCAGGCUUGGAUUGAAGACUGCUACAGUGUAGACUUUGCAACAAAUACUGAUCUUUUAUAUACUCUGAAAGAGUUUAUUUCUUCCAAGGUUGCUCCAUUAAAUGGCUAUGGUGAGCGCUUGUUGUCAUUGCUUGAGGAUUCUUCUGCCAGGAAAAGUGGCAGUGCUUAUCAUUGCUCCAGCAUGGACAAAUGUGAAGAGGAGGGUGAGGAGGACA